rnacentral:rRNA from 1 species
AGAUUGAACGCUGGCGGAAUGCUUUACACAUGCAAGUCGAACGGCAGCACGGGGGCAACCCUGGUGGCGAGUGGCGAACGGGUGAGUAAUACAUCGGAACGUGCCCAGUCGUGGGGGAUAACUACGCGAAAGCGUAGCUAAUACCGCAUACGAACUCUGGUUGAAAGCGGGGGAUCGCAAGACCUCGCGCGAUUGGAGCGGCCGAUGGCAGAUUAGGUAGUUGGUGGGGUAAAGGCUCACCAAGCCGACGAUCUGUAGCUGGUCUGAGAGGACGACCAGCCACACUGGGACUGAGACACGGCCCAGACUCCUACGGGAGGCAGCAGUGGGGAAUUUUGGACAA